AGUGAACGCUGGCGGUAGGCCUAACACAUGCAAGUCGAACGGCAGCACAGUAAGAGCUUGCUCUUACGGGUGGCGAGUGGCGGACGGGUGAGGAAUACAUCGGAAUCUACUUUUUCGUGAGGGAUAACGUAGGGAAACUUACGCUAAUACCGCAUACGACCUACGGGUGAAAGCAGGGGAUCUUCGGACCUUGCGCGAUUGAAUGAGCCGAUGUCGGAUUAGCUAGUUGGCGGGGUAAAGGCCCACCAAGGCGACGAUCCGUAGCUGGUCUGAGAGGAUGAUCAGCCACACUGGAACUGAGACACGGUCCAGACUCCUACGGGAGGCAGCAGUGGGGAAUAUUGGACAAUGGGCGCAAGCCUGAUCCAGCCAUACCGCGUGGGUGAAGAAGGCCUUGGGGUUGUAAAGCCCUUUUGUUGGGAAAGAAAAGCAGCAGGUUAAUACCCCGCUGUUCUGACGGUACCCAAAGAAUAAGCACCGGCUAACUUCGUG
rnacentral:rRNA from 1 species